CACACCUCUGGUGCACCAGUUGUCAUGCCAAUGGCACCGCUGGGCAGCUAUGUGUGGAUCGGAUAAACGCUGAAAGCAUCUAAGCGUGAAGCCGGCCUCAAGAUAAGAUAUCCCACUGAGUAAUCAGGUAAGACCCCACAAGGACUAUGUGGUUGAUAGGCAACAUGUGUAAGUACAGUGAUGUAUUCAGCUAGGUUGUACUAAUAGGUCGAGGGCUUGACCUU
rnacentral:rRNA from 1 species